CUUGCCUACGGGGGGCAGCAGUGGGGGAUAUUGCACAAUGGGGGAAACCCUGAUGCAGCGACGCCGCGUGGGCGAAGAAGUAUUUCGGUAUGUAAAGCCCUAUCAGCAGGGAAGAAGAAAUGACGGUACCUGAGUAAGAAGCACCGGCUAAAUACGUGCCAGCAGCCGCGGUAAUACGUAUGGUGCAAGCGUUAUCCGGAUUUACUGGGUGUAAAGGGUGCGCAGGCGGUCCUGCAAGUCUGGAGUGAAACGCAUGAGCUCAACUCAUGCAUGGCUUUGGAAACUGGAGGACUGGAGAGCAGGAG
rnacentral:rRNA from 1 species